rnacentral:rRNA from 1 species
CCUACGGGAGGCUGCAGUGAGGAAUAUUGGUCAAUGGACGCAAGUCUGAACCAGCCAAGUAGCGUGCAGGAUGACUGCCCUACGGGUUGUAAACUUCUUUUAUUAAGGAAUAAAGUGAGGCACGUGAGCCUCUUUGUAUGUAUAUCAUGAAUAAGGAUCGGCGAACGCGGUGCCAGCAGACGCGGUAAGAUGGAGGAUGCGAGCGUUAUCCGGGUUUUUUGGGUUUUAAGGGGGCGUAGGUGGAAUAUUAAGUCAGCGGUAAAAAUUUGGGGCUCAACCCCGUCGGGCCGCUGAAACGGAUGGUCUUGAGUGGGCGAGAAGAAGGCGGAAUGCGUGGUGUAGCGGUGAAAUGCAUAGAUAGCACGCAGAACUCCGAUUGCGAAGGCAGCAUACCGGCGUCCAACUGACGCUGAAGCACGAAAGCGUGGGUAUCGAACAGGAUUAGAUACCCGUGUAGUC